GAUGAACGCUGGCGGCGUGCCUAAUACAUGCAAGUCGAGCGAACGGACGAGAAGCUUGCUUCUCUGAUGUUAGCGGCGGACGGGUGAGUAACACGUGGAUAACCUACCUAUAAGACUGGGAUAACUUCGGGAAACCGGAGCUAAUACCGGAUAAUAUUUUGAACCGCAUGGUUCAAAAGUGAAAGACGGUCUUGCUGUCACUUAUAGAUGGAUCCGCGCCGCAUUAGCUAGUUGGUAAGGUAACGGCUUACCAAGGCAACGAUGCAUAGCCGACCUGAGAGGGUGAUCGGCCACACUGGAACUGAGACACGGUCCAGACUCCUACGGGAGGCAGCAGUAGGGAAUCUUCCGCAAUGGGCGAAAGCCUGACGGAGCAACGCCGCGUGAGUGAUGAAGGUCUUCGGAUCGUAAAACUCUGUUAUUAGGGAAGAACAUAUGUGUAAGUAACUGUGCACAUCUUGACGGUACCUAAUCAGAAAGCCACGGCUAACUACGU
rnacentral:rRNA from 1 species